UGGAUAGCUUGGUUUGGACUGUGAUGAAGGACGUGGCAAGCUGCGAUAAGCUCGGGCGAGGUGCAUGCGACCUUUGAACCCGAGAUCUCCGAAUGCGACAACGUUCUCUUUAUGAGAAUGCAGAGAUGUAAAUAUACGCCGGGAAUUGAAACAUCUUAGUACCGGCAGGAAAAGAAAUCAAUUGAGAUUCCCCCAGUAGCAGCGAGCGAAAAGGGAAGAGGGCAAACCGAAUCUUGCUUUGAAAAGAGCGUAGAGAUGUGGUGGAUGCUAAGCCUAAGUUACUGAGAAAAAGUCCUCUGGAAAGAGGCACCUUAGAGGGUGAUAGUCCCGUAUUCGAAGGUAAUAUGGCGGGCUCUAAAAGAGUAGGGCCUCCCAGAUAGGAGGUCUGAACACGGCGGGAUUAACCGCCAACCCUAAAUAUGAGUCCAAGUCCGAUAGUGAACUUAGUACCGCGAGGGAAAGCUGAAAAGUACCCUUAAAAGGGAGUUAAAAGACUUGAAAUCUGUCAGUGACACGAUGGUUACGGCAUUACGGUGUUGUAACGUACGUUUUGAAAAAUGAGCCAAGGAGUUCUUCUAAAUGGCGAGGUUAAAAUGAAGCCAUAGCGAAAGCGAGUGUGAAAGCGCGUGAGUCAUUUGGAAGACGACCCGAAACCAGACGAUCUAUUCGUGGGCAGGCUGAAGUUUCCCGAAAGGGGAAUGGAAGGCCGAAGCAGUGUUGUGUGCAUGCACUUGUCUGAUCUGCGAAUAGGGGUGAAAAGCCUAUCUAGUUUGGCGAUGGCUGGUUCCUGCUGAAAUAUGCCUUAGUAUAGUCUUGUUCAGCUUGUUGGCGGGGUAAAGUACGGAUAGGGUUCGCAGGUCCGAAAGGAUACGGAACCUCUUCCAACUCCGAACCUGUCAACUGCGUAAAACAGGAAUGGGGGGCAGUGCGUAAGGUACUGUUCCGAAACCGGAACAACGGAGACCAGAGUUAAGGUCCCUAAAUGUAUGUUAAGUGUAACAAACUUGGUCGAAAACCUAAGACAGCGAGGAUGUAGGCUCAGAAGCAGCCAUCAUUUAAAGAAAGCGUAACAGCUCACUUGUUGAGGUUUUUGGCGAGGAAAAUGGACGGGGCUAAACAUACUACCGAUACUCUGGCGGCUCUCGAAAGAGAGUUCGGGUAAGCAGGCGUGGAUUCUGCGCAGAAGUUUUCUCGAAAGAGUGGAUGGAGCGGGAUCCAAUGAGAAUCUUGGUGGUAGUAAGAUCAGAUUGCUCUGAGAAUGAGCAGCGCCGUAAGAGCAAGGUUUCCUUGGCACUAUCGUUUAACCAAGGGUUAGUCGGCGCCUAAGCUAUAUCUUAACUGCGUAUAGCGAAUGGACAUCCGGUUAAUAUUCCGGAACUGACUAAGUUCUGUACGUAAUUUGCUUCGGGAUAGGCAGGUACUCGGAAGGGUGCCUCGUUGCAGAAGACUGUGGAUCGUAAUGAUAAGAAGCAGUCGAAUGUAAAGGGAGAAAUCUGUUGAUUCCUGGGGUCCAUGAAAAGUUGCGUAUGUAAAACUUAGUUAGCCGUACCCAGAACCGACACUGGUGCUCUGGCUGAGAAGGCUAAGGCGUGAAAGGAUAACCUGACUUAGGGAACUCGGCAAUCUAGCCCCGUAUCUUCGGUAUAAGGGGUGUCUAUGAACGUCUUUGAAUUAAAGGGCGUUUGUAGAUCGCAGUGACAAGGACUGCCCGACUGUUUAACAAAAACGUAGCUGGUUGCAAAUCCAAAAGGACUAGUAUAACCGGUGAGACCUGCCCAGUAGUGGUGUUUCAAACCCUAGUUCAAUAGGGCUAAGACCCAUCAAACGGCGGGCCUAACUAUGAGGCUUGAGCUUGUGGUGAAAAUCCACUAAGCUUAAUUAUGUUAAAUAGAUUAAACCAAAAUAGAGGGCCUCAAUAAAUUCAGCUAUAUGCUGGAAUAGCAUGAUGAAAUCAUGAUAGGAAGUUAUCGUCGUGAGAUGAUAAUGAUUACUGAAAAUUUAUGAUGAAGUGCCAAUCAGCAGGAAAGACUUCUUAAGAUUUAAGAAGAAUCCUCAGAGACUAUACGCUGAACACAGAUUAGAAGUAAUUUGUGAUGAUAUAGUCCAACAAAUAAUUUUAUUUGUGCUUAAGGUAGCGUAAUGCCUUGUCGUCUGAAUGGCGACGUGCAUGAAUGGUUUAACGAGGUAGUCGCUGUCCCAAGUCAGAACCUUCUGAACACACUUGAUGGUGAACAUGCCAUCGUCGCCUAGUGGGAAGUGAAGACCUUGUGGACCUUUACUGCAACUUGUUGUUGUGAUGCCGAGGGAAGUGCAUAGAAUAAGUAGGAGCAUCGAAGCCAUUCCUCCGGGAAUGGUGGAGCAAAAGUGUAAUACUACUCAUUUUUCUUGACAUUGCUCACUCGAGAGAGGACAGCAGCAGGCGGGCAGUUUGGCUGGGGUGGCACCCUGCAGAAAAGAUAUCUGUAGGGCCUAACGACAAGCUCAUCCAGGUUGGAAAUCUGGAGUGGAGUGCGAGGGCAAAAGCUUGUCUGACUGUAUCUUGCACAGCAAGGGAUGCAGGAGUGAAAGCUGGGCCUAGCGACCCCACAUGCUCUUUUAAUAGGAGCUGUGUGUGACAGAAAAGGUACCCCAAGGAUAAUUGGCUGGUCGCCCCCGAUAGUCCAUAUUGACGGGGCGGUUUGGUGCGUCGCUGUCGGCUCUUCCUAUCCUGGUAGUGCACAAGCUACCAAGGGUGUCGGAGUUCACGCGUUAAAAGGGAUCGUUAGCUGGGUUAAGAACGUCAAAGGAUUAAGCUAACGGUUUUACCAAAUCGCAGACUAUCAAAAAUGCGGCGUUGCAUGCGAGAGAUCGCAUGAAAAAUAAAAUUGGCUAUAUCGGUGAAGCCUUUCUGGAUUUUAACUGUAACCAGGAUGGUAAUACCGAGGGAAGUCGUAAUUGACCCCGUAGAGACUUAGAUUUUCUUAAUUGAUAGGCAUCCGUCAGAUGCUGAUAAAAUCUGGACUUGCUGAUAGAGCAGGUAAUACGCCAAUCUCCUAUCUCGAAAGAGAAGGAUGAAGGUAUAGUCCAUACAUUGUAAAUACAUAAGCAAUGAGAAUAUACGCGAGACAGUUUGUAUAAUAUCUACUAGGCGCGUUGUGGUCUGAGUGGAACGAUGAUCUAGUACGAGAGGAACGAUCAUUGGGUGCCUCUGGUGAGCGGUUGUUAUGAGCAGGCCGCGCAGCUACGCACUGUAUGGAUAAGUGCUGAAAGCAUCUAAGCACGAAGCCAUCCGCAAGACGAGACCACUGAGGCCGUCGUAGAAGACGACGUUGAUAGAGCUGGUGUGUAAGAACCGAGGUAACGAGGUUUUAAGCGCGCAGCUACUAAUAGCCUUAUUG
rnacentral:rRNA from 2 species